UUGUGUUAUGUCUUAGAGUUUUCUUUAGUAGUUUCGUGGUGUAGUUUUCCUUUGUUUUUAUUGGGUGUCCCUUGUUGAUUUGCAUUUUAUUUGUGGGUUUUACUAUGAGUGUUAGAAUUGCUUGCUAGUAUGUUUGCUUAUAUGAAUGCUAUGUUUGACUAUAUAGAUUUUCAACGGAGUGACGAAUAGUUCUACCAAGUCAUUAUUCUGAGAGUUUUAUUAUCUUCAUCAAGUAAUACCAGGCAAGUUCACUUUGACCAUGUUUUUCAUACCUACGUUUUAUUGCAUUUCGUGUCAUCUUUGCAACAAUCCCUCCAGUAGUGAUAUUGAAUUCUUGUAGUUGAGUAGUAUGCAUGAGGUAGGAACCCAUCACCCUGUUACCAAGCCCGGGACGUUAUUUAUUUUAAUGCUAUGCUAUAGUAGACGGGGUUUGGUAUGAGUGCACGAGAGUGGUGUGAAGAAGGAGGACUCUACGUCAAUGACGACAACUCCAUGAUGGCAUAUGCGAGGACUGCAUCUUCAAGGCCUCAAGACUUCAAGACUCGAGACAAGAAUUCAAUACACACUACUGGGUGAAGGACGGUUGACGGGCACCCUGGAGAAACCAGUGGAUGGCCGGGAUGCAUGGAGAAGCGCCAUGACAUCUUGCGGAAAGCUUCACCCAGACUCAAAGAGACGGAAGAAUACUUCAUGCCUGGAAGCUUACCUGUGCAACCGCAAGUCACUAUGGGCUCUGGCUUGGUUGACCUUAGUUGUGACUCUGGCUGGGACGGUGCUAGCAGAUGUAGAACGACGGUAGGAUUGGAUGAGCACCGGACAGUGGUCAGGGGAACUCUUUGGAAGACCAUGUUUCGGUCGUCUUGUUCUCAAACACCCUGAAGUGCGAGAACGUAAAAAGAGGGAUCGAAUCUUGCGGGUAAAGUGUACAAACCUCUGCAGAGGGUUAAAACCUAAUCGAUUAGCCGUGUCCCCGGUUACGGACAAUUUGAGCCUCUGGACUUGGAUCUAUCUCGGAACUCUCAACACCGGACUGAUAACUUAAUUGUGGGCAACUUAUGAUGAUUUGGGCUAUGAGACAUCGGUUGGCGGAACCAUGUCAUGAUAGGAAACUCCGUAGUAUAGACUCCUGAUAUUUCUUUGGUGUAGGAAAAUAAAACCAGCUUUUAUGCAAAAUAAAACACAGACAUAGAGCCACAAAGCCAUAUUGCAUAUAGUAUAGUUUUAUCAUCUGUUUUCUCAUGUUGUGAUCUUGCCUGUACAUUCAAUGUACUGACCUACACGGCUGCAACGUAUCAUGUUGCAGAUAUUUUUUUUCUUCCGACGAGUAAGAGUACGGUACAGGGUUACGGUCUACACUCAACCUGCCGAUGGCGUUGAUGGGACUCCACACCCGACUAUUUGUUUCCGCUGUGACUUAUGAGGUAUAUAUCAGUUUUACGUUAUUUAUACAUGUGAUUACACUUUGAUAUAUACAUUGAUGUACUGUGUGUGCCAGCAUACUGAUCCAGGGAUGGCACAGAAACACAAAGACUUGACCGUGUGAGGUCGGGUCGCUACAGAUAUGGUAUCAAAGCACAUGUUGACUGUAGGACGUGGCCCUAGAAAUUGGAAAGCCCCUAGGAUAGGAAAUCUCUAAAACUUUAUUUUCAAAAAUACCCUCACUUCUAAUAUUUUCAUGAUUUUAUCAAAUAUCUCUCUUACCUCAAAUAGUUAGAAUAUACCCUUUCCCUUUUGACCACACGGAGGAUCAAUUGAAGUCGCUCCAAGAAGGAUAAGAUAUCGGACAACCGAUGACCUCUUCAGAGUAAAGAAGAUUUCACGAUACAUUUUGAAGAAAGAAGCUAUAACAGUUGAAGACUGCGAAGACUUGAAGAAUUUGGAGAAUCUGAAGAAUUAUUUGACCUUUAGAAGACCAAAUCCCUGUUAUAUACUUACGUUAGAUGCGACGAUUUGUGAGCUAUCAGUUGUGUGAUGUUUCUCGACAGCCACAAAUAAAAUCCAUUUUCAAAAUUAUUGUUUGUGUUGUGUGUGUCUAUCUCUAUCUCUCUUAUCUCACCCCAAAGCCCUUGGACCCAAUAGAUGAGGAAGGAAGAUGGACUGGUAUUCUCUGGACCGAUGAUUCAGUUGGAGGCAGAGCUAUGGAUUCAAAACAUGGAGGAUCACUUCAGGAAAAAUUUGAUUGCAAGGAAGUAUGAGGUUCAAUAUGCUCUUCGGUACUUUACAAAAAGUGCUGUAACCUGGUGGAAAAUGCAUCAAGCCAUACAAGGAUGCAACGGAGCAAGAACUUGGGAGGAAUUCAAGAAGACUCUGUUAAGAUCCCGUCUCAUCCGGAAGCACUGGGCUAACCCGAUGAAGAAACCUUGUGCCUGCAAGAUUUGCGGAGAAAUAGGACACACCGAUGAAGAACACAAGGAUGGAUGCCCUCAUUGUGAGGAGAAUCACCCAACCGAAGAGUGCCCGACUGGGCAAGUUACUUGUUUCCUGUGUGAAGGAACUACACACUACCUAGCUCACUGCCCAAUUUACCCCAAGGUACAAGAGAUUACCAAGCAGCAGAAAGAAUCCAUGAAUGAAACCCUCAGGGAAAAUUCAGAAGAACCUGCGAUGAAGGAAGUUAUUGAAGACCCUAAUGGUGAAGGCCUAAACAGAUUUUUUGCCCAAGCUUGCUAUUGAUGUGGAGAACAAGGACAUUUUUCAGAGUAUUGCACGAAGGAAAGCCAAGAGUAUCUCAGAGACUUCCCGACAACAGAAGUGAAGUUUGACCCUCAGGAAAUAGAAGCUCUGAUCAUUCCAGAGAAAUCCAGGAAGAGAAAACGAAGGCAACCCCAGAACAACCCAACUUCUGCAAAGAAGGACCUGAGUCAUAUCACUUGUUACAGGUGCAAGGAUUUAGGUCAUUACGCUAGUCAAUCUCCAGUAAAGAAGCCAAGAAUCCAAGGAACCUACAUGAUCACAAAGAAGCCCCGAGACAUGUCCGAAGUCAUUUGUUUUUGAUGGAAGGAAGCAGGACAUUUUGCUAGGGAACGUUCAAAUCAGAAGAAAGCUGGAGCUGAGUAGUUGAGAUUUUGAUAUGGAUAAUAAGAGUGGUAGAAAGCAAUCCUAUUUUCAUAAGUUCGAUGAGUUGAGUUAUGUAAUGGGUGCUCAGAGAUUGUAAUGAAUUCAUGAAAUCAAUAAAGUUAAUGUGUUAUGAUUUCAUAUGUUGUAUUAUGUGAGUUUUUACUCUAUGAACAAAGAUUUUGGACCAGUUUCGAGGAUAUGAGAAAUAUGAUCUAUGGAUGGAUUUGUGAAUUUCAUUUAAGGGUGGUAGUACCCUGUGAAGAACACUUGACCCAUGGAAAGGAUAAUGAUAUUUCUGGGAGUGAAGUUUGGACAAAAUAGGUAUGAGUUUUGUUUCGAUAUGUUGGUUACCCCAAGAAUAUGAAGGAAUGAAGCAAUAUUGGAAUUUAAGGAGGUGUAAUGUGGGAAUAUGGAACCAUAUAACCCAAUAGGAUGAGUUAAAGCUAUGCAAGUAUUGAAGUGGGCCCACAACCCACAGGCCCAGGAAUUAAUAAAGAUCAAGUACUCCCUGCAAGAAGAAAUUUUGGAAGAAGAUGUGAUUUGAUGAGCAGAUGUUCCUUAGGAGGCUACGAAACCCCGAGAGUUGUGAAGUAACGAUAGAUGUUUCAUUCAGCUUGCAGAACCAAUGGAAUUAUCCGAACUAAGUUCGUCGACAAGAGAAAUUCUGCAAUGCUUGUGAGAAUUCCCGAGUGUUAAAAAUGCGAGAUUUGCUAAACCUUAUACAGAGUAAUGAUUUGGGUGCGGAAUGGAUUGAUCACCAUACCGACUUACUCUGGUCAUUCGCUCUUGCUAUUUGGAAUGGUAAAUCUGAGUGACUUACCCAUAGUAGAGAGACGACGAUAUCAAACCUUGUUUAAACCAUAGAAUGCUAGAACGAUGGAUCCCUAUAACAGGCAACCGUUGCCAAUCGUAGGAUAUACGGUGAGAUUCAACCCAAACCCUUUUCUGCAGGAGAAACCAUUAAUUGUUGACCACCAUGAGAUUUCGCUAAUUAAUUAGAAUUGGCGACAAACCUGUCAGAUAUGAAGACCCAGUCUCGGAAGAACCUCACCAGGAUGAAAGGACACGAGUUUGAGGAAAAGGUUAUGCCCUACUGGAAGAGCCCCAGUGUAGGAGUUACUCCGAAGAUGUGAGAAGACCGAUAGUGUCCACACUAAGGAUGGAGUACAUAAGAUCUGUUGGAACCAUAACCCUGUUUUUAAGUGUGGUAGCACACUAGACCAUUCUGAUUGAUGGAUUUGCGAGAAGACCCCCAAACCCUAACCUUUCUUGCUAGCCUCUUCGAAUCUCGAGAACGAGAUUCAUUUUAAGUGUGGUAGUUUGUAACAUCCCAAAAUUCUAAUUUUUGGAAUGUUAUAAUAAUUAAAAUAUAUGAUUCUUGAGUGAUUGAUUGAGUGAAAUUUAUUGGAAUUUUAAACUUUUGAAGUUUUGUUGAGAGGGAAUAAAAGGACUUUCCAAAAAAUGUUUCUGUUUGAAAAUAUUUGAAUUUGGAAAUAUUUCAAACUUCAUGCCACUCAAUGAUCCUCAUGAUUUCUUCAAUGAAAGAGAGUGGGAAGUAAAGAAAAAUUUCAUUUUGAAUUUGUGAUUUAAUUUUUUUUUAACUCAAAGUGGCAUUUGAGUUUUAUUCAAAAACUUUUCUGACAAAGAACACUUGAACAAAAGUGUUGAGAGGGAGUAACAUGACACCCCAAAAAUGUUGGAAUAAAUUUUCCAUAGAGUUUUGAAAGUCAUUUUGAUAUUUGUUUGAAUUAAAAAAAUGAUUUUUCAAAAAGUAUUUUAUUUGCCCCUGGAAAAUAUCCCAUUAAAUUGGGCUUAUUUUUCUGAUCAUUUUGAUAUAUAAUACUCCUAUAUUUUAUUUUCAUUUUAUUUUCUAAAAUGAUUGUUUCUUCGCGGGUUAUUCAAAAAAAGGAAGGUACUGUUUUUUUGGGGCCAAAUCCGGCCCGGUCCGUACCGAAUCGUCUCUUUCCUCCUGACGAGAUGCUCCAGAUCUCCAGCCACCGCCGGAGCAUCGCCGGAAUCGCGGGAUUCGCGAUCUCCCCGAUCUGCCCCCUCCUCAAAGUCGACCUCCCCCUAUUUAUACCCCUCCCCUCAACCCGUUCCGCCCUUUCCCGAUUCCCCAAACCUCCUGCCACCGCCACCAUUGCUCGUCGGAGCUCACCUCGGCCACCGCCGCCAUUGCCACCCACCCGAGCACCACACACCUCCCCGACGCCCCCGAGCAAACCCAGACUCCCCUCGUUCCUCCGCAUUCCCUGAGCCGCUCCGCCGUCGCCAAGGAUCCCUGGAGCCGUCGCCCCCUUCACCACCGGACAUCACCGCCGCCGUCGAGCUCGCCCCACUCGAGACCGCCGUCCUCGAUCCACGCCGAGGCCACCUUCAUGCUCGUCACCGUCGCCCACGUCGAACAGAGCCCUACCUGAAGCCGGAGACCCACGGGAGGAGCCGCCACCGCUGCCGGCGACCUCGCCGGAGUUCACCUCCAACGCGGUGAGCACUCCACUCCCCUCCACCGUCCGAUCUAAUAAACGCCCUAGAUUAGAUCUAAUCUGGACGGUUAGGUUAUUUUUACUAGAUCGGUUUAGCUUCGGUUUAUUUACGGUUUAUAUCUAAUCGGUUUAGCCGGUUUUUCUUUUCUGUGCACGCGCACUAGUCUGUUAAAGAUCGGUCGAGCGUCAUUUAGUUCAGAUCGCCCACUGCUUAGGCCCGGUAGGAGCCCAAUGCGUAGCACCUGCCCGUUUGUUGUUUUUUCUCAUUUAUUUUUGUUUCUGUUUUAAAAAACAGAAAUAGUUUCAAUUUUAGAUUGCUUAUAUAUUUUAUGUUUUAGAUCCAAAUUGAGUGAUUCCUUUUGCAUUGUGUCAAAAAUUUGUUGAAGUUUCUGUUUGCGUACUUAGUUUUCAGAUUUGAGUAAUUUAAACUUGAGUUUGAUGAAAUUUGUUCAAAUCACUAAUUUGGUCAUAUUUUGAGUUUUACAAAAUAUUUUUGAUUGAUUCUUUUUGCUACUGUUUUGUUAUAGUUUUGUCUAUCCAGUAGCUUAUAGUGAUUUAUUUUUAGUUUAUUUUAAAUUAAGUUUUUAGCAAAAGAGUACUGUUUUAGUUAUAGUUUUGUUUUAAGUCUUUUCUUUAUUGCUUUCAUUAGUUUUAAAUUAUUUCUUUUUUGUCACUCUUGAAAAAUUUAGUUUAGUUUCUGUUAGUCAACAAAAGAAAAUUUUGUUUUUGUUUUAAAAAUUUAUUUUACUUAGUUUUGUAGGAAAACUUGUUUAGGUCAUAGUUAGUGUUUCAUAAAAGCUUUUUAUUUGUUUCCUUUUACAAAUAAAAUUUUAUGAAAAAUACUUUCUGUUAACUUAGUUGUUUUGUUUUUUAUUUUCUGUUAACUUAUUAGUUUAGUGUUUUAUUUGUUGUUAAGUUUUACGUAGGACAACUAAUUUGUGUUAUGUCUUAGAGUUUUCUUUAGUAGUUUCGUGGUGUAGUUUUCCUUUGUUUUUAUUUGGUGUCCCUUGUUGAUUUGCAUUUUAUUUGUGGGUUUUACUAUGAGUGUUAGAAUUGCUUGCUAGUAUGUUUGCUUAUAUGAAUGCUAUGUUUGACUAUAUAGAUUUUCAACGGAGUGACGAAUAGUUCUACCAAGUCAUUAUUCUGAGAUUUUUAUUAUCUUCAUCAAGAAAUACCAGGCAAGUUCACUUUGACCAUGUUUUUCAUACCUACGUUUUAUUGCAUUUCGUGUCAUCUUUGCAACAAUCCCUCCAGUAGUGAUAUUGAAUUCUUGUAGUUGAGUAGUAUGCAUGAGGUAGGAACCCAUCACCCUGUUACCAAGCCCGGGACGUUAUUUAUUUUAAUGCUAUGCUAUAGUAGACGGGGUUUGGUAUGAGUGCACGAGAGUGGUGUGAAGAAGGAGGACUCUACGUCAAUGACGACAACUCCAUGAUGGCAUAUGCGAGGACUGCAUCUUCAAGGCCUCAAGACUUCAAGACUCGAGACAAGAAUUCAAUACACA
rnacentral:lncRNA from 1 species